AAACUGCCUUGUAGGUGUGAACGUUGCUGCAACCACGUGUAUUUUUUUGUGAACCACAUUCUUUACCUGCAAACUCUGCGGCAUCAACUGUAGGUAAAAAAUAAAAUAAAUAUUCAAAAUUGGUAAGUUGUUAUGACAUUAUACAUUUUAUUGUUUGAUCGUGAUGGCGUUAUUUUUUACAGUGAAAAAGAACGAACUACGUGUUUAAUAAUUUGGGCGGUGGUAAAUAAAUAUUUACGAUAAACAAUGACUGCAGUGGAGGGGAGGAAAAAAUAAACGUCUUAAGUAGUAAAUUUAACAUGCAAAAAUAAUAGCAAUAUUAAUAAAUGUUAAAUUUUUUAGUUUUUAACAACUUACAAUUACCGAAAACCUGGCCACCUCGUGGCAGAAUGUAAAUAAAAAACGCAGCUCCCAUUAGCCUUGGUGUCUUCAUUGGCCAUAUUUAUCGUGGUGACCAUAGUUACUGUGGAAAGUCAAGAGAAGAAUAAGAAUUUGAUAAAGUAAAGUUUUAAAGAUCCACUAAUUUUAUUUCAUUUUACAUAAUAAAUUUAACUGUUAACAGCGUGAGCGGUAUAAUAUUUUAGUAUGCAAUGUACAUUAUAAUUGGAAAUAAUAAACUGUAUACAUAAAUACAAAUUUUAAAAUAGCCAUUUUAUAGGGUUUAUUCUAAUGAAAAUUUAAUGUAGAAUUAUUUAAUUUUAUUUAAAUUUUAUCAAAAUCAACCUUUUACGAAAUAUAAAUUUAAAUUAAAACGACCUAAUAACUGUAUUAGCGAUAAAUAAAACUAACAAUAUACUGUCAUAAUGUUAAUGAAUUGAUUAUUAUGAACGACAAAGAUUACUUAUUUAUUAAUAAAUUUUACUUUUUUUUAAAAUAUUUAUACUCUUAACGAUUCUGUAUGCUAAAUAUAUUUAUCUAUAUGUUAUGAAUAAGGUUCAUGCAAUAUAUUGUGUACAACUUAUUAAUAGGGAAAGCCAUCUUAAGUAAGUCCAAAAUCUGUGGUCUAUAGACUACCUCUACCUAUAAAUGCACAUUUUUGUGAAAAGGAUGUACCUAGAUUUAAAAUUUUGAAAAAAUUUAGAUAUAAAAGGUGUUCCUUACAUGUUACUGCCCUGGGCCCCAAAAUAUCUUUAAACGACCCUGGUUGUUUAAUAUAAUUUAAAUUAUUCUAUAAAAAAUAUAUACCUACCUCAUUUCAGAACUACAAGUCAUUUUUUUUUUUUUCGUAAAAUGUCAAUAUUGAUUACUUUUUUCACUUUACCUACUUUACCACUUUACUUUUCUUAUACCUACAUUUUAAAUUUUUAAAGGAAAACUUUUUAAAAUAUAAAAUACAACUAUAAUUAUUGUUUUUAAAUUUUAUUUUAUUAAAUUUUUUUUUUUUUUAAUCAUGGAUUUACCAUUUUUCAUUUAGUUUUAUUUUUACACUAGCUAUCUUAAUGAGUGCUUUUACAAAUGUUUCAAUAAUUAUGAACUAAAAUAUAUUUACACAUCUUAGUUUGUGAUUUUAUUAAUAUGAAUAAUUUAGGAAGUUAUAAAAUAUAAUAAUUAUAUAGAUAUCUUAAAUUAUAUUUAUUAUUGUGUGUGCUAUACUCCUAUACUUAUGAUAACAAUAAAUAGCACUCAUAUAAUUUUUGCAUGUUUAUUGUAAAUUUCCUCCUUAUACUUGGUCAUGGUAUAUUGUUGAAUUAAAAUGUUUUUAAAUUAGGUACGUACUUCAAAUAUGUGUUUUUAUUAUUUCUAUCUGUUAUUAAAUUUGUUCAAUUGAAAUUAGAGCCAGACAGUGACAGCCCAAAUUCAAACAAAAUACAUUUGAUACCUAUUUAAUUAGUUUUAAAGAUAUAUUGUACAUCUUAAAUUACAUGUUCAAGCAAAAAGCGUAUAAUAUUGUGAUCAAAAUUUCAAAUUCAUGACACCUCACUUGACCAUACAAUUUUAUAGUUAUUUUAUCAUUCAUGAUCAAAAUAAUGGCAAUCAUAAUUUAUUUAUUUCAAUGCUGAUAUUAGUUUUAGAAAACAAAUUAACUUUAGUUAGUUAGUAUUUUUUUAUUCUUUUUCUUAACUAUAACAAAAUUGUGUUUUAUCAAAUUGUAGAAAAGCAGUUCAUUCUGAAAUUGUUUUGCUUAAAACAAAGUUAUAUAUUUACAACUUUUAGCACAUUCAAAUUCACUUAAAAAAACAUUCAUAACGUUUUCUUUGAUACAAUGUAACAUUUGGUAUCUUCCAUAGAUUUCUAUUAGAAUGGUUUUGAGAACUUAGACAAAAUUAUAUCCAUCAUUAAAUACUCUUUAUUUUGUAAUCUAAUAGACCCACACUUUUAUCAAUUAAAUUUUUGAAUGAAAUACAAUUUCUAAGUGUAUUUCUUUGUGUUUGAAACUCUGUAUUGAUUAAUUUGUACAUUUAUAUUUAUUUAGAAAAUGAUCUGACAUAUCAAUGGUUUCAUAAAUGUGUUCGAUUUAUCAAUACAUUAUAAUAAAUUAUAUUCAUAAUAUUGUGAAAUUAUGUUGCAGAUUACUAACAAUUCAACAAUAAUAACAG